UAAUCCCUGCUUUGUUCGUCAGAGCUCAAUUACAUCUUUGAACCAACAUAUUUUUAAUGGGAGCUAAUAGACCACCCGGGAUGAGAACCAUCUUAAGUACGGUUCCAUGAACGGAUUGGUGAAGCACCCACCUGUAGUUACCGGGUUCAAGAGAUAUUGAUUCAACGGCAAAAGCAGGGUUUUU
rnacentral:other from 1 species